GACGAACGCUGGCGGCGUGCUUAACACAUGCAAGUCGAACGGUGAAGGGACCAGCUUGCUGGUUCUGGAUGAGUGGCGAACGGGUGAGUAACACGUGAGUAACCUGCCCCCUUCUUCUGGAUAACCGCAUGAAAGUGUGGCUAAUACGGGAUAUUCUGGGUCUGUCGCAUGGCGGGCCCGGGAAAGAUAUUGCUUCGUUGGGGGAUGGGCUCGCGGCCUUUCAGCUUGUUGGUGGGGUGAUGGCCUACCAAGGCGGUGACGGGUAGCCGGCCUGAGAGGGUGGACGGUCACACUGGGACUGAGACACGGCCCAGACUCCUACGGGAGGGAGCAGUGGGGAAUAUUGCGCAAUGGGCGCAAGCCUGAUGCAGCGACGCCGCGUGAGGGAUGGUGGCCUUCGGGUUGUAAACCUCUUUCGCCAGUGAAGCAGGCCUGCUCCUUGUGGGUGGGUUGACGGUAGCUGGAUAAGAAGCGCCGGCUAACUACGUG
rnacentral:rRNA from 1 species